UGGGGAAUAUUGCACAAUGGAGGAAACUCUGAUGCAGCGACGCCGCGUGAGGGAAGACGUUUUUCGGAAUGUAAACCUCUGUCUUGUGGGACGAUAAUGACGGUACCACAGGAGGAAGCCAUGGCUAACUACGUGCCAGCAGCCGCGGUAAUACGUAGAUGGCGAGCGUUGUCCGGAAUUACUGGGUGUAAAGGGAGUGUAGGCGGUAUAGUAAGUUGAAUGUGAAAGGUAAGGGCUCAACCCUUAGAGUGCGUUCAAAACUGCAAUACUUGAGUGAAGUAGAGGCAAGCGGAAUUCCUAGUGUAGCGGUGGAAUGCGUAGAUAUUAGGAGGAACACCAGUGGCGAAGGCGGCUUGCUGGGCUUUUACUGACGCUGAGGCUCGAAAGCAUGGGUAGCAAACAGG
rnacentral:rRNA from 1 species